GACGAACGCUGGCGGCGUGCUUAACACAUGCAAGUCGAACGGAAAGGCCCUGCUUUUGUGGGGUUCUCGAGUGGCGAACGGGUGAGUAACACGUGAGUAACCUGCCCUUGACUUUGGGAUAACUUCAGGAAACUGGUUCUAAUACCGUAUAGGAGCUCCUGCUGCAUGGUGGGGGUUGGAAAGUUUCGGCGGUUGGGGAUGUACUCGCGGCUUAUCAGCUUGUUUGUGGGGUAGUGGCUUACCAAGGCUUUGACGGGUAGCCGGCCUGUGAGGGUGAACGGGAACAAGGGGACUGAGAUAGGGAGCAGAAGGGAACGGGAGGCAGCAGGGGGGAAUAUGGCACAAUGGGAGGAAGCCUGAGGAAGAAACGCCGGGUGGGGGAUGACGGCCUUCGGGGUGAAAAAAGAUUUAGACUGUGACGAAGCGUGAGUGACGGUAAUGGGUAAAGAAGCACCGGCUAACUACGUG
rnacentral:rRNA from 1 species